rnacentral:rRNA from 1 species
UACGGAGGGUGCAAGCGUUGUCCGGAUUUAUUGGGUUUAAAGGGUGCGUAGGCGGCCUUAUAAGUCAGCGGUGAAAUACCCAGGCUCAACCUGGGGGGUGCCGUUGAUACUGUAUGGCUUGAGUACGUUCCGUGUACAUGGAAUUUAUGGUGUAGCGGUGAAAUGCAUAGAUACCAUAAGGAACACCGAUAGCGAAGGCAUUGUACAGGGGCGUAACUGACGCUGAUGCACGAAAGCGUGGGUAGCGAACAGGAUUAGAUACCCUGGUAGUCCACGCCGUAAACGAUGAUCACUCGCUGUUCCACUGCAUAGUGGAGCGGCCAAGCGAAAGCGUUAAGUGAUCCACCUGGGGAGUACGCCGGCAACGGUGAA